UUUGUCCAUAAACCGGCUGAAGUGGUUCUUUAGCCCGUCUGUUAUAAUUUGCAGUUGCGCAUGUGCAGUAGCGUACUCUUUUCCACAACUCACUGAAGCCCUUUUGAAUACCCUUUUUUGCACAGGAGACAACAAGCUAGCUAAUGGAGUGCUCGGAACCUCUCCUCAGCCGGCCUGCGUAUGUCUGCUCAACACGGAGCACACAUUUCUCCUCUGACUGUCUUUCUCUGAGGCCUGGUUGAGGCUAUGUCAGCAGCAGCUCUUAUCAGGACACCCACCUCUACCCAGCAGUCAUCUCCUCUCAUUGAAUAUCAAAGGCCAAAAUCUCAACCAACUUCUCAGAUUCUGCGUGUGGGAUGGGAAAGAAGCAAUUUUCCAAAAUCCCACCAGACCCACAGCGGUGCUCGACUCCUGCCAUGAGCUUCCUGCCCCGGUCUAGCUGCUGCUGUCAGUAUGACUCUCACUGCCUGCCUGACUUAUAUUUAUGACUCUGGUGCAGCGAGGUUAAGUCGCUUCUGUUUAGUCAGUUUAUGAGUGGUGUCUCCUCUGUCUCCUCUCUACUUGUAUCUCCAUACAAGCUUAUUCUGCUCUUCUUCUCUGCAGGAAAGAGAGAAAAAAAUGUAAUUGGCCACUUCAUGUCAAGCAGACUAAAAAUAAUAGACUGAACUAAUGAUUCAUACCAAAAAUGUAAAAGUACCAAAAGUAAUAAUAAAUGAUGGGACAUCCUUAUACUGGUGUUCA
rnacentral:lncRNA from 1 species